UACGUAGGGCGCGAGCGUUGUCUGGAAUUAUUGGGCGUAAAGAGCUCGUAGGCGGCCUGUUGCGUCCGCUGUGAAAUCCCGGGGCUCAACCCUGGGCGUGCAGUGGAUACGGGCAGGCUGGAGGCAGGCAGGGGAGAACGGAAUUCCCGGUGUAGCGGUGAAAUGCGCAGAUAUCAGGAGGAACACCAAUGGCGAAGGCAGCUCGCUGGGACGUGACUGACGCUGAGACGCGAAAGCGUGGGGAGCAAACAGG
rnacentral:rRNA from 1 species